AGGAGGAAGAGGAAAGAGAAGAAGAGGAGGAGAAGAGGAGGAGAAGAGGAGGAAGAGGAAGAGGAAGAGGAGGAGGAGGAGAAGAGGAGGAAGAGGAAGAGGAAGAGGAAGAAGAGGAAGAGGAGAAGUGGAUAUCAGUUGUUUGAGGUGAAACCAGAGUAAACGUUGGGGGGGGUAAACAGGAAGCUCAUGCUGGGUCGUGGGCGCGGUGGUUGCCAUGACAACACAGCAUCAUCAUUCAGUCACGCUGUAGAAAACCAGACAGGAAAUAUAAGAGAACCCCGGGAUGACCUCUGACCUGUGAUGUCAUCACAGGAGGAGGAGGAAGAGGAGAGGAAGAGGAAGAGUUUUAGGAUAUAAAGCAGGAAGUGUUUGAACGGCAGAUUCUGUCUCAGUUUAAAUAAACACAGAGGUCAGAGGUCAGAGGUCAGAGGGUUCCUUAAGACUCAACCUCCCAGUCUGUGCAGCGCACGCACACACACACACACACACACACUAACACACACAC